rnacentral:tRNA from 1 species
AAGUUUGAAACAAAAUAUUGUAUUCAGUUUCGACCUGAAAUUUUAGUUUAUAUUAAACUCUAACUUU